CGCCUCGUGUACACCGCCACGCGAACACGCGCGAGUCACGCGCACACCGCGUAUUUCCGCGAGUUCUCACGAUUGAAUAGAACGUCUGGAAGGACCAGGUACCGUACAUCGCUCGCAGUUCCCACUCGUUCCGGGCUUUGUUCCGCUCCAACUCUCGCGCCAUUAGUCCAUCCUACAGUUUCCACCGCUUUCACGAGAUCCUGCGAGAGGAAAGGCGUAAACGGACUAAGGGCUGGCGCUUGCUUCCAGUCAGCCGAAAAAGACGAGAACGAGGGGUUAGAAAAAAAGAAGAGGACGCGUAAAGCACCUCUUCGGGAUACAAUACAUCGAAGCGUGAAGCUUCAAAACUUCCAGUAGCAACGUAGUCGGGUGUAGGUAAGAAGAUGCAAGCGGGAGAAAGAAGGUUGGAGAAGGGUGAUAAUAGCAUCGGAACGGCGAAGGCUUUGGGCGGCAGAGACGCAAGGGUGUGAACGACCAACAUGCAUGAGCAACCCAAGAAUCCUGAAAGAGCGUGCAGGCAGGGUGAAAGAGG
rnacentral:misc_RNA from 1 species